rnacentral:lncRNA from 1 species
AAAUUCUGAUCCAAAUUCCCAAAAUUCCAACCACAAUUCCCAGAAUUCCAGCCCAAAUUCCCAGAAUUUCAGCCUUAAUCCCAAAAUUCUGGUCCCAAUCCCAAAUCCAGCCAGAAUUCCCAAAAUUCCAGCCCAAAUUCCAGGAAUUCCAACCCAAAUUCCCGGAAUUUUAACCCCAAUCCCAAUUCCAGCCCAAAUUCCUGAAAUUCUGACCCAAAUUCCCAAAAUUCCAGCCCGAAUUCCCAAAAUUCCAUCCCCAAUUCCUGGAAUUCCAGCUCUAAUUCUUGGCCCAAAUUCCUGAAAUUCUGACCCAAAUUCCCAAAAUUCCAGCCCGAAUUCCCAAAAUUCCAUCCCCAAUUCCUGGAAUUCCAGCUCUAAUUCUUGGAAUUUCAACCCAAAUCCCCAGAAUUUCAACCCCAAUCCCAAAUCCAGCUCAAAUUCCCGAAAUUCCGGCCCAAAUUCCCAAUAUUCCAGCCCAAACUCCCAGAAUUCCAACCCAAAUUCCUGGAAUUCCAACCCAAAUUUCCAGAAUUUCAACCCCAAUCCCAAAUCCAGCUCAAAUUCCUGAAAUUCUGGCCCAAAUUCCAGAAUUCUGGCCCCAAUUCCCAAAUUCCAACUCAAAUUCCCAAAAUUCCAACACCAAUUCCCAGAAUUUCAGACCAAGUUCCCAAAAUUCCAGCACAAAUUCCCAGAAUUCCGGCCAAAAUUCCCAGAAUUUCAGCUUUAAUCCCAAAAUUCCAGCCCAAAUUCCUGAAAUUCUGGCCCCAAUUCCAGCCCAAAUUCCCAGAAUUCCAACCUCAAUUCCCGGAAUUCCGACCCCAAUUCCCGGAAUUCCGGCCCCAAUUCCGGCCCCAUUGCUGAGCAUUUCCCGGAAUUCCCGAGGAUUCUCAAGAACUUCCCGGAAUUCCCAGGAAUCUCCCAAGAAUUCCCCGAUAUUCCCAAGAAUUUCCCAGUAUUUCCACAGAAAUCCCAAGAAUUCCCAAAAAUUCCCCAAGAAUUCCCCAGAAUUCCUCACGAAUUCCCCAGAAUUCCCCAAAAUUUCCCAAUAUUCCCACAAAUUUCCUGUGAAUUCUCCCAUAAUUCCCAAGAAUUCCCAAGAAUUCUCAAUAUUCC